ACAUGACCUUAGCUUAGGUGAGGCUACCCAAUGAGUUUAAGCAUAUCAAUAAGUGAAGGAAAAGAAACUAACAAGGAUUUCACUA
rnacentral:rRNA from 1 species